CAGUAGCCACGGGAAUACGGAGGGUGCAAGCGUUAAUCGGAAUUACUGGGCGUAAAGCGCACGCAGGCGGUCUGACAAGUCAGAUGUGAAAUCCCCGGGCUUAACCUGGGAACUGCAUUUGAAACUGUCAGGCUGGAGUCUUGUAGAGGGGGGUAGAAUUCCAGGUGUAGCGGUGAAAUGCGUAGAGAUCUGGAGGAAUACCGGUGGCGAAGGCGGCCCCCUGGACAAAGACUGACGCUCAGGUGCGAAAGCGUGGGGAGCAAACAGGAUUAGAUACCCGAGUAGUCCCUGUCUCUUAUAA
rnacentral:rRNA from 1 species